GUCUCAGUUCGGAUUGGAGUCUGCAACCCGACUCCAUGAAGCUGGAUUCGCUAGUAAUCGCGCAUCAGCCACGGCGCGGUGAAUACGUUCCCGGGCCUUGUACACACCGCCCGUCAAGCCAUGGAAGCCGGGAGUGCCUGAAGUGCGUGAGCGCAAGCAGCGCCCUAAGGUAAAACCGGUGACUGGGGCUAAGUCGUAACAAGGUAGC
rnacentral:rRNA from 1 species